rnacentral:rRNA from 1 species
GCGGAAGGGAUCAUUACUGAGGUAUCAAAAAACUCCRACCCUAUGUGAACCUACCUNUGUUUCCUCCGGAGUACCGCGCCAGCGCCUAUCCGCAGGGCCCCCUUUAAGGGGGGCCCUGCUGGGUAAGGUACCUGGAGGGCCGCCUACCCUUCGGGGUACGGCAGCGCGGAUUAGGGUACCGACGUAGGCCUGCGCGGCGCCGAGUAGGACCUUCUCGAACUAUAGCACAGUGUGCAUCCAACCCUUUUUUUAGGGGUCUGAAUCACCUCAUAACCUAUACCGCCCCUAACCGGGUGGUAACUAAACUAAAGUUUUUUUAACUAAAUACUUUAAAACUUUCAACAACGGAUCUCUUGGUUCUGGCAUCGAUGAAGAACGCAGCGAAAUGCGAUAAGUAAUGUGAAUUGCAGAAUUCAGUGAAUCAUCGAAUCUUUGAACGCACAUUGCGCCCAUUAGUAUUCUAGUGGGCAUGCCUAUUCGAGCGUCAUUACAACCCUUAAGCCCUGUAGCUUAGCGUUGGGAAUCUACGCCCCCCAGGGGCGCAGUUCCUUAAAUUUAGUGGCGGAGUUAUAGCAUACCCCAAGCGCAGUAGUUUAGCUCGUUUUCAGGGAGGCUGUAGCUGCUUGCCGUAAAAAAACCCCCUAUACUUAUAGUGGUUGACCUCGGAUUAGGUAGGAAUACCCG